rnacentral:lncRNA from 1 species
CCUGGGGUUUGGGUUGCAAUUCCCCCAUUUGGGGGUUGCAAUUCCCUGGUUUGGGGGUUGCAAUCCCCUGGGGUUUGGGUUGCAAUUCCCAGGUUUUGGGUUGCAAUUCCCAGGUUUGGGGGUUGCGAUCCCUUGGGGUUUGGGUUGCAAUUCCCAGGUUUUGGGUUGCAAUUCCCAGGUUUGGGGGUUGCAAUUCCCCAGUUUCUGGGUUGCAAUUCCCAGGUUUUGGGUUGCAAUUCCCUGGGUUUGGGGGUUGCAAUUCCCCAGUUUCCGGGUUGCAAUUCCCCCAUUCGGGGGUUGCGAUUCCCUGUUUUUUUGGGUUGCAACCCCCCGGUUUUGGGUGCAAUCCCCCCGUCACCCCCGUCACCCCCGUGUCCGUCCGUCCCCCCAGUGCGGCUUCUUCAAGCGGGACUACAGGGAGCGGCUGGACCAGGACGCGGCCGGCGCCGGGACGGGGGACGACGGGGACAACGGGGACGACGAUAACGGGGACGAUGAUAACGGGGGCGAUAACGGGGACAAUGAUGGGGACACUGGGGACGCCCCCGCGGGGGACACGGACGGGGACCUCGGCCGUGGGGGGCAGGAGCCGCUGCAGGGGGGCGAAGGAGCCCCGUGAGCCGGCGACCGCCCGGCCUUCAUCCUCCAUCUCCAUCCUCCUCCAUCCCCAUCCUCCAUCUCUCCAUCUCCAUCUCCCCAGCCUUCAUCCUCCAUCUCCAUCCUCUAUCUCCAUCAUCUCCAUCCUCCAUCCCUCCUUCUUCCAUCCUCUUUCUCCAUCCAUCCAUCCUCCAUCUCCAUCCUCCUUCCAUCCCUCCAUCCCUCUCCAUCUCUCCGUCCUCCAUCUCUCCAUCCUUCUUCCAUUCCUCCAUCUCCAUCUCUCCAUCCUCCAUCUCUCUGUCCUCCAUCUCCAUCUCUCCAUCUCUCCAUCCUCCAUCUCUCCAUCCUCCAUCUCCAUCCCUCCAUCCUCCUCCCUCUCCCCCACGGUCUCACAUUAAAGCGGCUCCCGGCCACGCAAGGGGCCCAGGCGUCCGGGCGGGAGAAGCCACCAGCCGCCUCCUGCCUCUGCUUUUAUUGGGCGGCGCCGCGGGGGCCCCGGGCUGCAGCCGGUCGCGGCGGCGCCGGCGGUUCGGGGCGGAAAAGGGCCCUUUUGGGGGCCGCUGCGGAGGCCCCGAGGUGGCUCCAGGGGGCCGGACGGGCGCUCGGGGCUCCCGCCGUGGGGCCGGGUGCUG